rnacentral:rRNA from 1 species
CCUACGGGUGGCAGCAGUGAGGAAUAUUGGUCAAUGGACGAGAGUCUGAACCAGCCAAGUAGCGUGAAGGAUGACUGCCCUAUGGGUUGUAAACUUCUUUUAUAUGGGAAUAAAAUGUUCCACGUGUGGGAUUUUGUAUGUACCAUAUGAAUAAGGAUCGGCUAACUCCGUGCCAGCAGCCGCGGUAAUACGGAGGAUCCGAGCGUUAUCCGGAUUUAUUGGGUUUAAAGGGAGCGUAGGUGGAUUGUUAAGUCAGUUGUGAAAGUUUGCGGCUCAACCGUAAAAUUGCAGUUGAAACUGGCAGUCUUGAGUACAGUAGAGGUGGGCGGAAUUCGUGGUGUAGCGGUGAAAUGCUGAGAUAUCACGAGGAACUCCGAUUGCGAAGGCAGUUCACUGGACUGCAACUGACACUGAGGCUCGAAAGUGUGGGUAUCAAACAGGAUUAGAUACCCCAGUAGUC